rnacentral:rRNA from 1 species
UAAGGAAUAUUGGUCAAUGGACGCAAGUCUGAACCAGCCAUGCCGCGUGGAGGAUGAAGGCCCUCUGGGUUGUAAACUUCUUUUAUUAGGGAAGAAACCUUGACUUUCUAGUUGAGUUGACGGUACCUGAUGAAUAAGCACCGGCUAACUCCGUGCCAGCAGCCGCGGUAAUACGGAGGGUGCAAGCGUUAUCCGGAUUCACUGGGUUUAAAGGGUGCGUAGGUGGGCAGGUAAGUCAGUGGUGAAAUCUCCGGGCUUAACCCGGAAACUGCCGUUGAUACUAUCUGUCUUGAAUGUAGUGGAGGUGAGCGGAAUAUGUCAUGUAGCGGUGAAAUGCUUAGAUAUGACAUAGAACAUCGAUUGCGAAGGCAGCUCGCUACACUAUGAUUGACACUGAGGCACGAAAGCGUGGGGAUCAAACAGGAUUAGAUACCCCCGUAGUCC